AUGUUUAAGUUUCCGGCUGCAUUGUCUGAGGAGUUAUCACAGAUUAUAAGGAAUUUUUUGUGGGGUGAUGAGGAGGAUAAGAGCAAGACUCAUCGACUGGCUUGGGAUCAAUUGACAAGUCCUAAAGCUGAGGGAGAGAUGGGAUUCCGAGAUCUCAAACUUUUUAAUCAAGCGCUGUUAGCGAAGCAGGCGUGGAGGUUGGUGGUCAACCCUGAUUCUCUGUGCGCCAAAGCGGUCAAGGCAAAAUAUUACCCACAGGGACUUAUCCUCGACAUUGUAUUUCCUCUGUCGGCCUCACUGCCUUGGCAAGCUCUUAUGCAUGGAUUGGAGUUGCUGAAAUUGGGAGUUAUUUGGAUAGUGCGUGAUGGCUCUAAUAUUAAUAUUUGGAGAGAUAACUGGCUCCCA
rnacentral:rRNA from 1 species